rnacentral:rRNA from 1 species
AAUAGAUACCCGGGUAGUCCACGCCGUAAACGAUGAGUGCUAAGUGUUAGAGGGUUUCCGCCCUUUAGUGCUGCAGCUAACGCAUUAAGCACUCCGCCUGGGGAGUACGGCCGCAAGGCUGAAACUCAAAGGAAUUGACGGGGGCCCGCACAAGCGGUGGAGCAUGUGGUUUAAUUCGAAGCAACGCGAAGAACCUUACCAGGUCUUGACAUCCUCUGCCAACCCUAGAGAUAGGGCGUUCCCCUUCGGGGGACAGAGUGACAGGUGGUGCAUGAUUGUUGUCAGCUCGUGUCGUGAGAUGUUGGGUUAAGUCCCGCAACGAGCGCAACCCUUGAUCUUAGUUGCCAGCAUUUAGUUGGGCACUCUAAGGUGACUGCCGGUGACAAACCGGAGGAAGGUGGGGAUGACGUCAAAUCAUCAUGCCCCUUAUGACCUGGGCUACACACGUGCUACAAUGGAUGGUACAAAGAGCUGCAAAACCCGCGAGGGUAAGCGAAUCUCAUAAAGCCAUUCUCAGUUCGGA